UGCGGAAUUGUGUAAAGGUAGCACGACAGUCUCUGAAUCUGUUUGUCUAGGUUCGAUUCCUAGUUCCGCAGCCA
rnacentral:tRNA from 1 species